GUAUGUGACCACAUCACACUGGAAUGUACCCAAUCUCAUCAGAUCUCAGAGGCUAAGUAGGCUUUGAGCCUGGAUAAUGCUUGGAUGGGCGACCACCAUGCAUAAAACAGGUGCUGUACGCU
rnacentral:rRNA from 1 species